UACGUAGGGUGCAAGCGUUGUCCGGAAUUAUUGGGCGUAAAGAGCUCGUAGGCGGUCUGUCGCGUCGGAUGUGAAAACCCAGGGCUCAACCCUGGGCCUGCAUUCGAUACGGGCAGACUAGAGUUCGGUAGGGGAGACUGGAAUUCCUGGUGUAGCGGUGAAAUGCGCAGAUAUCAGGAGGAACACCGGUGGCGAAGGCGGGUCUCUGGGCCGAUACUGACGCUGAGACGCGAAAGCGUGGGGAGCAAACAGG
rnacentral:rRNA from 1 species